rnacentral:lncRNA from 1 species
UGAAGUAGAUGGCGGUUGAUAAAGGAAUCCUUGAUCAUAAUUUCCAGUAUUCAUACAGCGUCCAACAUGAAACUUGUGAUUGGUAGUUUUGUCCUUUAUCCAAGUUUAGCAACUAAAAAAAAAAGGUUUUCGCGGGCAAAUAUUUACUCUUUCAAUCUCUAUUUCAUUUGUAGGACUCGUUCGUGACUUCUCCCUAUAGAUGAAUUAAUCUCCGGUUCAUUUCGCCAUCCCGACUAGUGAAUCAUUAAGAUUCAUUUUUUCAAUAAAAUCUUUUGCAUGCACAGGUUCUAUCGUUCCCAUCGCUUCGUACUUAAUGAUUAGGUCCGAAUGGGUUAAUGAUAGUUGAUUGGUAUAUUCUGUGAAUUUGAAUAUUGCUCAUAAUAAUGGGUUUUGCUAUAUGAU